rnacentral:misc_RNA from 1 species
GUAGGUGAACCUGCGGAAGGAUCAUUAAAAGAGUUAGGGUCCCCUCGGGGGCCCGACCCUCCAACCCUUUGUGAACAUACCGUGUUGCUUUGGCGGGCCCGGGCCCUAGGCCCCGCCGGCUUCGGUUGGUGCGCGCCCGUCAGAGACCCAUACAAACUCGUUUGAAACCAUGUAGUCUGAGUAAAUAUUAAAUAGCUAAAAACUUUCAACAACGGAUCUCUUGGUUCUGGCAUCGAUGAAGAACGCAGCA